GCGGCAAAAGCUCAAAUUUGAAAUCUGGCGUCUUUGGCGUCCGAGUUGUAAUUUGAAGAAGGUAUCUUUGGGCCCGGCUCUUGUCUAUGUUCCUUGGAACAGGACGUCACAGAGGGUGAGAAUCCCGUGCGAUGAGAUGACCCGGGUCUGUGUAAAGUUCCUUCGACGAGUCGAGUUGUUUGGGAAUGCAGCUCUAAGUGGGUGGUAAAUUCCAUCUAAAGCUAAAUAUUGGCGAGAGACCGAUAGCGAACAAGUACAGUGAUGGAAAGAUGAAAAGAACUUUGAAAAGAGAGUGAAAAAGUACGUGAAAUUGUUGAAAGGGAAGGGCUUGAGAUCAGACUUGGUAUUUUGCAUGUUGCUCUCUCGGGGGCGGCCGCUGCGGUUUACCGGGCCAGCAUCGGUUUGGAGCGGCAGGAUAAUGGCGGAGGAAUGUGGCACGGCUUCUGCUGUGUGUUAUAGCCUCUGACGAUACUGCCAGCCUAGACCGAGGACUGCGGUUUUUACCUAGGAUGUUGGCAUAAUGAUCUUAAGUCGCCCGUCUU
rnacentral:rRNA from 1 species